GGAGAGGUGCUCGAGUGGUUGAAGAGGCACGCCUGGAAAGUGUGUAAACGCUGAAAGCGUUUCGCGGGUUCGAAUCCCGCUCUCUCCGC
rnacentral:tRNA from 1 species